rnacentral:lncRNA from 1 species
AUCUAGAGGGUGAAUGUGAAAGAUUGUUGUUCUGACAAACCUAGAGUACAGCUUUCUUAUUGGCUCUUAAUUCUGGAAAACAGAGUGACUCCUAAUAUCUUGACAUGUUUAUAUUUAUAUGUACACACAUAUCUUGGAAGGCAUCAUCUGUACUCACAUAGCACAUAAACCCUGUAAAAGUUUCAUCUAUGAAGAUUAUAUGCCUGAGAGAAAAGGGUAGAGUCUUAGAGAUCUAAACAUUUAAAGAGAUGGUUCUAAUAGGCAAAUUCACUGUCAACAACUUUUUCUUUAUUUCUUAUAAUCUGAGUAAAAUUUAAGAAAAAUCAAAUAGGUAUUUUGGCUGUUUGGUACCUGUUCUCACAAGACUGAUUUACUACAGAUACUCAUAGAACAUAGAAGUUGAUCUUCUUCACAAGAAGUCUGGCAUGACGAAAGUGUGAUCUAAAAGAAAAGAACUAAAUGAAGAAAGUAAAAAGUUCCAACCCUUUCCAGAUACUCAAAGUAAUAGGAACAGUCUUUCCUCCACUCCUUCUGUUCCCCACCCAAACAAUGCUUCUCACGAAAUAAACAUGUGACAAACAUCACAGAAGACACAUAACCAGAAUUACAAGGCUAUCAACUCUAGGAAAUGAAAUUGUAAGAGAAUCCAAGAUAUAAUAUCCAAGUUUCAGAACACAACUGGAGUUCCUUGAGACAGUAUUAUACCCAGAUAUUGUUGUGACUCCCAGACAACACUUCCUGGCAUUGAAUUACACUGGAUCAGGAACUGUUUUGUUCCCAAAGAUACCACAAUUUACUCCAGGAACAUUGACUAUUAUUCUGAAGAUAGAAUUACCACAACUCAAGCCUCAUAGGCAGAAAAAGGAAACCCACUGAACAGCAGAUUUAGCAGCAGACUCCCUGCUUCUGGACCUUGGUAUUUUUGUUCCAACAAUUAUGAAGGAGGCUGCAGCAAGCAUGAAGUUGGUUAGACAUUGAAGAUGUCAAAUUCAUCCACUGCAUCCUGGGCCAUUCCCUUGACUUUUGUCUUUACACUGGAUUUUGAUGUCUUUAGAGAAUAAAGGGGAUGACUUUGUUCAAUUGCCUGCUUAAAUCCAGUUCAUGUACCUGUGAUGUCUUCAAAAUCAAAGGAUGAACAAUAAAACAAUAAGGAAUUGUCCAUUCAUUGAACUGUGC